rnacentral:rRNA from 1 species
CCUACGGGUGGCAGCAGUGGGGAAUAUUGCACAAUGGGGGAAACCCUGAUGCAGCGACGCCGCGUGAGUGAAGAAGUAAUUCGGUAUGUAAAGCUCUAUCAGCAGGGAAGAAAAUGACGGUACCUGAGUAAGAAGCCCCGGCUAACUACGUGCCAGCAGCCGCGGUAAUACGUAGGGGGCAAGCGUUAUCCGGAUUUACUGGGUGUAAAGGGAGAGUAGACGGCAGUGCAAGUCUGGAGUGAAAGGCGGGGGCUCAACCCCAGGACUGCUCUGGAAACUGUACGGCUGGAGUGCAGGAGAGGCAAGUGGAAUUCCUAGUGUAGCGGUGAAAUGCGUAGAUAUUAGGAGGAACACCAGUGGCGAAGGCGGCUUACUGGACUGUAACUGACGUUGAGGCUCGAAAGCGUGGGGAGCAAACAGGAUUAGAUACCCGAGUAGUC